rnacentral:rRNA from 1 species
CGAACGCUGGCGGCGUGCUUAACACAUGCAAGUCGAACGGAAAGGCCCUGCUUUUGUGGGGUGCUCGAGUGGCGAACGGGUGAGUAACACGUGAGUAACCUGCCCUUGACUUUGGGAUAACUUCAGGAAACUGGGGCUAAUACCGGAUAGGAGCUCCUGCUGCACGGUGGGGGUUGGAAAGUUUCGGCGGUUGGGGAUGGACUCGCGGCUUAUCAGCUUGUUGGUGGGGUAGUGGCUUACCAAGGCUUUGACGGGUAGCCGGCCUGAGAGGGUGACCGGCCACAUUGGGACUGAGAUACGGCCCAGACUCCUACGGGAGGCAGCAGUGGGGAAUAUUGCACAAUGGGCGGAAGCCUGAUGCAGCAACGCCGCGUGCGGGAUGACGGCCUUCGGGUUGUAAACCGCUUUCGCCUGUGACGAAGCGUGAGUGACGGUAAUGGGUAAAGAAGCACCGGCUAACUACGUGCCAGCAGCCGCGGUGAUACGUAGGGUGCGAGCGUUGUCCGGAUUUAUUGGGCGUAAAGGGCUCGUAGGUGGUUGAUCGCGUCGGGAGUGUAAUCUUGGGGCUUAACCCUGAGCGUGCUUUCGAUACGGGUUGACUUGAGGAAGGUAGGGGAGAAUGGAAUUCCUGGUGGAGCGGUGGAAUGCGCAGAUAUCAGGAGGAACACCAGUGGCGAAGGCGGUUCUCUGGGCCUUUCCUGACGCUGAGGAGCGAAAGCGUGGGGAGCGAACAGGCUUAGAUACCCUGGUAGUCCACGCUGUAAACGGUGGGUACUAGGUGUGGGGUCCAUUCCACGGGUUCCGUGCCGUAGCUAACGCUUUAAGUACCCCGCCUGGGGAGUACGGCCGCAAGGCUAAAACUCAAAGGAAUUGACGGGGCCCCGCACAAGCGGCGGAGCAUGCGGAUUAAUUCGAUGCAACGCGUAGAACCUUACCUGGGUUUGACAUGGAUCGGGAGUGCUCAGAGAUGGGUGUGCCUCUUUUGGGGUCGGUUCACAGGUGGUGCAUGGCUGUCGUCAGCUCGUGUCGUGAGAUGUUGGGUUAAGUCCCGCAACGAGCGCAACCCUUGUUCACUGUUGCCAGCACGUUAUGGUGGGGACUCAGUGGAGACCGCCGGGGUCAACUCGGAGGAAGGUGGGGAUGACGUCAAGUCAUCAUGCCCCUUAUGUCCAGGGCUUCACGCAUGCUACAAUGGCUGGUACAGAGAGUGGCGAGCCUGUGAGGGUGAGCGAAUCUCGGAAAGCCGGUCUCAGUUCGGAUUGGGGUCUGCAACUCGACCUCAUGAAGUCGGAGUCGCUAGUAAUCGCAGAUCAGCAACGCUGCGGUGAAUACGUUCCCGGGGCUUGUACACACCGCCCGUCAAGUCAUGAAAGUUGGUAACACCCGAAGCCGGUGGCCUAACCGUUGUGGGGGAGCCGUCGAAGGUGGGACUGGUGAUUAGGACUAAGUC